rnacentral:rRNA from 1 species
GAUGAACGCUGGCGGCGUGCUUAACACAUGCAAGUCGAACGGAAAGGCUCCUGCUUGCAGGGGUGCUCGAGUGGCGAACGGGUGAGUAACACGUGGGUGAUCUGCCCUGCACUUCGGGAUAAGCCUGGGAAACUGGGUCUAAUACCGGAUAGGACCACAUUUUGGAUGGUGUGGUGGAAAGUUUUUCGGUGUGGGAUGAGCUCGCGGCCUGUCCGCUUGUUGGUGGGGUAAUGGCCUACCAAGGCGUGGACGGGUAGCCGGCCUGAGAGGGCGUACGGCCACAUUGGGACUGGGAUACGGCCCAGACUCCUACGGGAGGCAGCAGUGGGGAAUAUGGCACAAUGGUCGCAAGCCUGAUGCAGCGACGCCGCGUGGGGGAUGACGGCCUUCUGGUUGGAAACUCCUUUCGCUAGGGACGAAGCGCAAGUGACGGUACCUGGAGAAGAAGCACCGGCUAACUACGUG